AUUGAACGCUGGCGGCAGGCUUAACACAUGCAAGUCGAGCGGAGAUGAGGUGCUUGCACCUUAUCUUAGCGGCGGACGGGUGAGUAAUGCUUAGGAAUCUGCCAUUUAGUGGGGGACAACAUUCCGAAAGGAAUGCUAAUACCGCAUACGUCCUACGGGAGAAAGCAGGGGAUCUUCGGGCCUUGCGCUAAAUGAUGAGCCUAAGUCGGAUUAGCUAGUUGGUGGGGUAAAGGCCUACCAAGGCGACGAUCUGUAGCGGGUCUGAGAGGAUGAUCCGCCACACUGGGACUGAGCCACGGCCCAGACUCCUACGGGAGGCAGCAGUGGGGAAUAUUGGACAAUGGGCGGAAGCCUGAUCCAGCCAUGCCGCGUGUGUGAAGAAGGCCUUUUGGUUGUAAAGCACUUUAAGCGAGGAGGAGGCUACUAGUACUAAUACUACUGGAUAGUGGACGUUACUCGCAGAAUAAGCACCGGCUAACUCUGUGCCAGCCGCCGCAGUAAGAC
rnacentral:rRNA from 1 species